UUAGGGUUAGGGGUGGGGCGGGUAGCUAAGGGGUUAGAAGCAGGCCGCCUUGGGAUCGAGCGGCGCCGCCCUGGAGGUGCGGCCCUGCGGACGAAGGGGAGGCCGCCUUAGCCGCGGGGGAGGAUGGGGCCGCGGUUCGUGCGAGGCCUUCCGGGGGACGACGGGGCGGCAGGGGCAGGUUCGAGCCGCUGGCCGAGGAAGGUGGAGGCGGCUGUGGCGGUCCUAGGCGCGGCGCGGCAGGCUCCCGAGGCUGAGGCGCGGUUCCCUGGUCGCUGGACGGCGGCGUCGGCAGGCGCAGCCUAGCCCGGGCUAGACAUUGAAGCGGGCGGCAAGCGCCGAGAGAGACAUGAUAAACUAGCGAUCUAGCUAGCUAGACACUGUUCAGGAGGGGCCUGGAGAGCGCUUAACGCACACACACACGUUUCGCUCUCCGGGCCUCGCUCCCCGUCCGUCUUGAGCUAGGUGGUAGUACCCACAGAACAUAAUGUUUAUAUUCUCACGUUUCCUUUGAAUGGGACACUGCAACGGGAUGAGCAAAUAUAGACACGGACUAGAGUUCGUCGAGUAGAACAGCUCAUUGGCCGUGCCGUGGCCGGCAUCGGCGCCGGCGCCGGGGGCGCUCCUAUAGCGGGAGAGGUUGCGGGUCUGGCCGCUUCUUAUACGUCUUCUACGUUACUAUGGUGUCUUGCAUUGACACGACCAGGCGGCUUGACGACCCGUUCUCAGCCUCUUAUAGCAGCACCAGAGAAGCGCCUUUCAUUAUCUUCUACCAAGAUAUCGAAGUUUGUCUAGUCACCAAUGACUUAGUCAGAGUUUUAGAACAAGGAGGCGUCUUCACUUUCUACUUCUACGACGAUAACGUCGACACUAACUACGUCGACUUGAAUUUACCCUUCUCGUCAGUAAAUUCUCUCCUGUUCGAGGACCUUCCAAAUGUAGUCCUGCGGUAUUACCGGUACCUAGUAGUCUUUCCCUCCGUGGAGGUGGACCGAUACACACGGCGUCGACGCCUCAACGUCCGGUAAAGUAAGUUGUAACGGGUGUCCUUUUGGUCUUCGGAGGUGGACCGAUAUGGACGAUGUCUACGGCCCAAGGUCCCGUAAAAUAAGUCGUAACGGGUUGGUAACCGCUAAGGUUUAAACUAUUGAUGUUUUACAGAGCAGGUCAACGGGGCCAGCAUAGAGGUUUAGGACGACUACUGUAAGAUAGGCGUGAACGGGGUCGACGUAGACACUCACAUCAACUACUGAACGGUCGUCUUGAGGUGACGGUUGAUACAUUAUUCCACUACCGUCUACGCCACAAUUGUUCGUUCACGACGAAGCAGUCAAAGACACUAUUUACAUAAGCUCUAAUGUAAUAAUGUGUAAGCUUCACGUAAACACCUCAGUUCCAGGAACGUCUAAGGGAGUAGGGGUUAGGGUGUCAAUCCUCGUGUUAGUCGUUAAACAAUCCUUGUUCCUGAACGUCGUGACGGUCGCCAUGUCCCUUCGUGUCUUCAAGAAGUCCUUCGUUGCGACUAGGGUUUAGUGUCUCGGUGUGGUGGAGCCGACGAAACCUUUCCCUGUGCUUCGUUACAUACCUGUUGGUCGAUAGCGUUCGAAGAGGGCUGCGGGCGGAGGUCCAGCGGUGUCUUCCACUAGUUCAGCUGGCCGGAGUCUUCUUAAGACUAGACUUCUCGUUGUGACUUCCGAGACGUCCCGCUAGUCAUCUCUUUCGGUAUGGAUUACGACUGGAUGGGUUUGACUUCCUACACUCGCUUAGUUGAUACUUCUUACCAUGAUAAAGUCCCUGGAAUCUUGGUUUUCAACGAUUCUGACUAGUCAACUUCUUCUUCGCUUUCUUCCGUCUGAGUAGAUUCCGACAAGUAGGUUUGUUACAACUAAUACCAAUGUUGCAAGGUAAACUGGGACGUAUAACAUUGGGAAAGUUGCCACCUAUAGUUUACCCAGGUAAACCCCAUGGACUAGGUAUGUACAUGCCGAGUUACCCGUACGGGAUACCACCAAAGGGCUACCCAGGCAAACCAUACUUAGGGAAACCGUUAUAAGGCGGCGUCCGAGAACGGUACGUUCCGAUAGGCGGUUUGAUAGUUUCGACCCUUUUGGUCCGGCGCAAUGUGGCACUACGGCUUCGACGACGUGCGAGUUCCGUCCAGAGGGUCCCUUUGCGACCUCGACGACGUGCAAGUUCCGUCUGGCUCUCCGGUGUACUGAGACCACGAACCGGGGCCGGUAGUCUAGCGUUGGUCGCGUACCCGAGAGGAGUUCCGUUGGUCGCGUACCCGAGAGGAGUUCCGUCUCUCGACUCCCUGUCCGGGGUCAGUUCUGGACUCGGUAGUCUCGCGUUGGUCGCGAACCCAAGAGGAGCGCCGGCUCUCAGGUCUCUGUCCAGGGCCAGAUCUAGAUUUGGUAGUCUCGCGUCGGUCGCGAGCCAAAGAGGAGCGGCGUCUCUCAGCUCCCUGUCCAGGGCCAGUUCUGGCCGCUCCUCAUCAUCCCUGGUACCCGCAAGGCUGUCUCCAAGGUCACUGAUGGUGCUCCUAGUGGUACUGUCCUUCUCUUACGCGCAGAGAAGAUGGCAACUACCACUAUGUCUCUCGUCGGUCUCCAGGUCCGUGUCAAGAUCCUCGUCGGAGUCCGCGCUGCUGCGCUCGCUGCUACUCGUCUUAAAGUUCUCCUUCACCCCUGCUACUCGGUACCUACGUUCCAAGACUUAUUUCUACAUCCUGAACAACGUCGUAACGACUACUCUGAACAAAAUGAUCACUAACAUAUACAGAGCCUUUCGCCUCCUAUUAAGGAGGACGUCUUACAAUUUGGCAAUAAUAUGGUCUCUAACAUUAUAUAGUCUCUCAAGGGUCUAGAGAAGGAGACAUUACGUUACAAUAAUAAUAGUUCUAUUUACUUUAAUAGUAGUCGAUGGAUAGCUCAACAAUAUACGUAAAGCCUUUACACACAGAAGGAUAAAAUAAAAAACACAGACUUAUUCUUCAGUA
rnacentral:rRNA from 1 species